rnacentral:misc_RNA from 1 species
UCUCCGUUGGUGAACCAGCGGAGGGAUCAUUACCGAGUUUACAACUCCCAAACCCCUGUGAACAUACCAUUUGUUGCCUCGGCGGUGCCUGCUUCGGCAGCCCGCCAGAGGACCCAAACCCUUGAUUUUAUACAGUACCUUCUGAGUAAAUGAUUAAAUAAAUCAAAACUUUCAACAACGGAUCUCUUGGUUCUGGCAUCGAUAAAGAACGCAGC